rnacentral:lncRNA from 1 species
AUGUGGUCACCAUCCAAAACAAUUUUUAUGGCAUCAUACAUAAAGGAUGAGGUGAUGAAAGAAUCUUCACAUCAAUUUAAAUAUUCUAUCAGCCAGACCAAAGGAAAGAUGUCCAAUUUUGUUUUUUUCCUCUCUUUCUUUCUUUCUUUCUUUCUUUCUUUCUUUCUUUCUUUCUUCCUUCCUUCCUUUCUUUUCUCUUGUUUUUUGUUUGUUUUUUCGAGACAAGGUUUCUCUGUAUUAUUUUGGAGGCUGUCCUGGAACUCACUCUGUAGACCAGUCUGGCCUCAAACUCACAGAGAUCCGCCUGCCUCUGCCUCUGCCGCCCACCCAAGUGCUGGGAUUAAAGGCGUGCACCACCAACUACUGGCUGAUCCUGUUGCAGCGUCUUCACACAGGAGAAGAAAAGCUAUGGAUACCAUCAAAAUCAAUAAAAGAUUAGAUUUGAACAAGAGACAUCUCUUGAUUAGCAGAGAUAAUAGUUCAUUAAACAGCAUGGCCAUUCAACCUAAACUAACUUAUAAAACUAACAAAUGCUUUUCAUUUGAUUGGAUAUAACAUGUCAAAAGAGAACCUCCCCAAAAUUAUGGUUGGGAAAGGGUUUUAUUUUUGUCUUUCCAGGAGAAUGAAGGCAUAUCACUAAGGAACCUGCAGGUCACUUGACAAAUGAGACAUCUGUCGUGAUAUAUUGAUUAUGAUUUAAUAAAGCUUACUUGGGGAUCA